AACGAACGCUGGCGGCAGGCCUAACACAUGCAAGUCGAACGCUCCAGCAAUGGAGAGUGGCAGACGGGUGAGUAACGCGUGGGAACCUUCCCUAUGGUUCGGAAUAGCCCAGGGAAACCUGGGGUAAUACCGAAUAAGCCCUUCGGGGGAAAGAUUUAUCGCCAUUGGAUGGGCCGCGUCGGAUUAGCUAGUUGGUGGGGUAACGGCCUACCAAGGCGACGAUCCGUAGCUGGUCUGAGAGGAUGAUCAGCCACACUGGGACUGAGACACGGCCCAGACUCCUACGGGAGGCAGCAGUGGGGAAUAUUGGACAAUGGGCGCAAGCCUGAUCCAGCCAUGCCGCGUGAGUGACGAAGGCCUUAGGGUUGUAAAGCUCUUUUGGCGGGGAAGAUAAUGACGGUACCCGCAGAAUAAGCUCCGGCUAACUUCGUGCCAGCCGCCGCAGUAAAAC
rnacentral:rRNA from 1 species